rnacentral:rRNA from 2 species
UGGGGAAUAUUGCACAAUGGGCGCAAGCCUGAUGCAGCCAUGCCGCGUGUAUGAAGAAGGCCUUCGGGUUGUAAAGUACUUUCAGCGGGGAGGAAGGGAGUAAAGUUAAUACCUUUGCUCAUUGACGUUACCCGCAGAAGAAGCACCGGCUAACUCCGUGCCAGCAGCCGCGGUAAUACGGAGGGUGCAAGCGUUAAUCGGAAUUACUGGGCGUAAAGCGCACGCAGGCGGUUUGUUAAGUCAGAUGUGAAAUCCCCGGGCUCAACCUGGGAACUGCAUCUGAUACUGGCAAGCUUGAGUCUCGUAGAGGGGGGUAGAAUUCCAGGUGUAGCGGUGAAAUGCGUAGAGAUCUGGAGGAAUACCGGUGGCGAAGGCGGCCCCCUGGACGAAGACUGUCGCUCAGGUGCGAAAGCGUGGGGAGCAAACAGG